GUGGGGAAUAUUGGACAAUGGGCGAAAGCCUGAUCCAGCCAUGCCGCGUGUGUGAAGAAGGCCUUUUGGUUGUAAAGCACUUUAAGCGAGGAGGAGGCUACCGAGAUUAAUACUCUUGGAUAGUGGACGUUACUCGCAGAAUAAGCACCGGCUAACUCUGUGCCAGCAGCCGCGGUAAUACAGAGGGUGCGAGCGUUAAUCGGAUUUACUGGGCGUAAAGCGUGCGUAGGCGGCUUCUUAAGUCGGAUGUGAAAUCCCUGAGCUUAACUUAGGAAUUGCAUUCGAUACUGGGAAGCUAGAGUAUGGGAGAGGAUGGUAGAAUUCCAGGUGUAGCGGUGAAAUGCGUAGAGAUCUGGAGGAAUACCGAUGGCGAAGGCAGCCAUCUGGCCUAAUACUGACGCUGAGGUACGAAAGCAUGGGGAGCAAACAGGAUUAGAAACCCUGGUAGUCC
rnacentral:rRNA from 1 species